rnacentral:rRNA from 3 species
AAAUUGAAGAGUUUGAUCAUGGCUCAGAUUGAACGCUGGCGGCAGGCCUAACACAUGCAAGUCGAACGGUAACAGGAAGCAGCUUGCUGCUUCGCUGACGAGUGGCGGACGGGUGAGUAAUGUCUGGGAAACUGCCUGAUGGAGGGGGAUAACUACUGGAAACGGUGGCUAAUACCGCAUAACGUCGCAAGACCAAAGAGGGGGACCUUCGGGCCUCUUGCCAUCAGAUGUGCCCAGAUGGGAUUAGCUUGUUGGUGAGGUAACGGCUCACCAAGGCGACGAUCCCUAGCUGGUCUGAGAGGAUGACCAGCCACACUGGAAC